rnacentral:rRNA from 1 species
UACGUAGGUGGCAAGCGUUGUCCGGAUUUACUGGGUGUAAAGAGCGCGCAGGCGGUCGUUCAAGUCGCGUGUGAAAGCCCCCGGCUCAACUGGGGAGGGUCACGCGAUACUGAUCGACUCGAAGGCAGGAGAGGGUAGUGGAAUUCCCGGUGUAGUGGUGAAAUGCGUAGAUAUCGGGAGGAACACCAGUGGCGAAGGCGACUUUCUGGUCUGUAACUGACACUGAGGCGCGAAAGCGUGGGGAGCAAACAGG